rnacentral:lncRNA from 1 species
CAAUUAUACAACCUUUUGACAAACAGUGUAGAAAUCUUUAGAAAUUGUUUAAAAAACUCUGGGGAAAAAUGUGCAUGUGUGUGAUUACACAGAUGGAGCAGAAGCUCUUUCUGUGCUUGAAUGGGAAGGUGCAAGGAAGCAAGACCUAUUUCUUCACUCCUGCUUUAACUCAGCUGCCAAAGAGAAGAGUUAUCUUGCCUGUUGGCUGGAACUAUCUUCACCUUUAACAUUUAUAGUGUUAAAAUAUUAUUCAUGAAAUGAUCAGUUAAGUGUUAAUAUGCUCAGCCUCAAAGAACCCCAAAGAAUGACUUUUUUUUUGGUAUGGAAAUGCAUACUUUGAGCUACCUCAUGCAAAAUGCACCAUUUUUAUGUGGUAAGAGUCUCUCUGGCCCGCAGAUGUCAUGUCUGUGGCAACAAUGACCGAGCAUGUGCAAGAACUGAGUUGCAGUGCUCCUCAUUAAGAUAGAAAAUCCUCAUUAAAACCAAAUUAAACUCAUGCAUCAGCACUUUCUAAGCUGUCCUGCGAGCAUCUAUGAACUUUUGACAUUACUGUCCAGGAAAAACUGUUCAUUUCUUAUGCACUAAAUAUUUAGCAAUACCUCUUCUAGUUCCUCCUUGCUAGUAAUUUGUCACUUGGUGUCAUAUUUAGGCCAAAAAAAACCCACACUGCACAGAUGGUAUUUCCCAGUCUGAACUCAAGUGGAAUCAGCAGAGGCAUCCUCUCUUCUGACAAAGAUUAGUAUUCUUAGAAGUGUAGUUAGUUGACUUUGGAAUGGAGGCUUCCUGAAAGCUGUGUUCAGAAUGCCCAAACUCAGGUGCCAGGUGGCAAGUAACUGCAGUUAUGUUUGGGGCUACUUAGUUUUGUGGGCCUUGCUUAGGUCAGAAUUAGUCUGGUGGCACCACAAAAUAUUCAUUGAGGCCCAAAAUACAGCCUGGGAAGCUGAAGGGAAGGCCCGCUGCCCUGAAUGUGCUGUGGGGAAGCUAUUCGCAGCGGGCUGUGUGAGAGAGGGUGUUUGUCCCAUGAAGAUGAUGUCUGUGCUGAAUAGGUUAGCAGCGACUUGGGUUCCCUUCUUGGAGAGAUUAAUAGGAAUGGGCAGUGUUGGAAUGCCCUGGUGGGGAGGGGAGGUCAGUGAGCAAUGCAUGGAAAAAGGGUGUGCAAAAUCCACCUGCACACGGAGGGUUUGAACUAAUUGCACAGUGGAAGGAAAGGACUGAGGCAUCGCCAGUGGCAUCUGCCCUUGGUAUUAAAAAGCGGAAAGGAGGUCCUAAGAGAAGGAGGCUGCCCAGAUAACAAGUUGAAUAAUAGGAAAAUCAUCUUUAUACCUUUAUAUAAACAGAGGUUAAGAAAUAAAUUAUAGACUCGGUCACAAAUGUUAUCUCUGGCUUCCUUGGGUAUGUGAAUGAGCAAAGUCUCAGCCUGCAUUUUUCCACUGCUUCUCUGGUUUUCAGAGAUUUCCACUGCUCCAAAUGCUUCUAAAGCCCAUGCCUUCCGGUCACCUGUUCCUCCUCUCCUUCCACCUCCUCCUUCCUCCACUGCCUGUCAAGGACAAACAUCAUUUCCUGUCAAGGACAAAUGCAGACUGGUGUUUGUUGUACUGUGAAGGGCCUGAGGAAAUGAGUAACACGCAAUCAGAUUGAGAGGGCUUCCUACCUUUGUCGUCUCUUUCUUAAUGGAGCAUGGGCGGUCAUGGAGCAAGUCGGAGAUUUUAUUAUGAUGCAGAAAUAGUAUUUCUUGCUCACCAAACACAGCCCAGUUUGCCCUAGCCUUUCCCUCAAGUUCUCGUUUGUUCCCUAACCAAGGCGACCACUCCUAAAAUAACAUUCUUUUGAAAGAAGAAUUUUUCUUCUUUCAGCUUUCUAGGAGAACUUUUAAGGCGCGUUCUAUGGAAAAAAAGUCAAUGUAUCACUUAUGGUAGUGAUAGGACAAGGAGGGUAGUGAUAGGACAAAGGGUAAUGGUUUUAAACGGAGACAGGGGAGGUUUAGGUUAGAUAUUAGGAGGAAGUUUUUCACACACUGGAACAGGUUGUCCAAGGAGGUUGUGGAUGCCUCAUCCCUGGAGGCAUUCAAGGCCAGGCUGGAUGUAGCUCUGGGCAGCCUGGUCUGCUGGUUGGUGACACUGCACAUAGCAGGGGGGUUGAAACUACAUGAUCAUUGUGGUCCUUUUCAACCCAGGCCAUUCUGUGAUGAUUGCAUUAAAUGUUGUAGGUAGAUGCCACUGACCUAAGCAUCCCUUCUCCUCUGGACUACUUCAGCGCAUGAAGCUUUCAAGACAGGGCUGCAAAUGCCUUUUGUGUUUCUUUGGACAAAAAUGCUAUUUUCAUGCUGCUGAAGAUUUUUUUUAAACUCCCCCACAGUGAGAGACUGAGCCGAGUUUAGCAGGCCAAUAUCAGACUGAGGUGCAUCAUUCAAUCUCAGGCCUCAGGUAUAUGGUUGAGGCGCGCUUUCCUGUGCCCCAACAGUCUCAUGCAUGUGACAAUGCCAGCUGUCUGUUAGCAUCUUCAUUCUCUGCCUGUGCCUGUUGGCAGGGCCCAAGCCUGUGGUUUCAAAGAAGUUAAGCAAUUACUGUCAGGUGACACACUGUUCCUGAUGCUGUGAUGAUUACAGGGCAUUGCUUUGUGUGCAUCACAUCCUGAAUGUGGCCCUCUCAUCUGCCACACAUGCACCUCUCUUGUUGGAAAUAAAUAUGAAUUUACAACAAAUUCAGGGGAAAAAGUAGAUGAAAUGGUAGAAGAAAAAUGUUUGGUUUUUUUUUCUUUGAAGCUAUAAAUGUUAAAAUCUCUAUUUGGCGCCUCAAAAGCUAUGUUGUUCUUGCUUGCUAUCCCAAAGACCUUUGCAAGUUCUGGACAGUCUCAGAAGACACUAAUGAUGUUUAUUUUUCCUUAUCCUAAUUCUUCCUCUCUGGGAAAGUUCAUCUGGUAGUAACUACUCCAAGGAGAAUUUGUUUGUCUCUGAAGUCCGGACGUAGGGCCCAGUGAUCCCAUGACCCCGUUCCCUGCUCUGAUAUCCUUCCUACUGUACUCUAACAGCUCUGGUUGUUGCUGUAGGUUUCAUAACCCUCUAGUAAACCUGAAGGAAGUUCAGAGUUGUACCAGAGGUGUGUGCUGGGUUAGGUAAUCCAAUGAGAGCUCUUGAGUCUUUCAGUGAGCUCUGCCUGCCAUUAUCCACAGAGGUGCUGCUGGAGGUGGCCAUGUCAUACUUGGCUGCCUUGGCUUUCUGGUGGGCAGCAGGCCUCAGCCAGCAGAGUCCCAUCUUGCAUGGGGUCAUGACAGCUUCUCUGCAUGUGCAAUUUGCUCUAAGGUAUCAAAUGGCUCCUGUAAUGAAAGAUUUGCUGCAGUAAUGGUAGUCAAGCAACAGUGGGGUAACCAGUAGGAAAUCAAGUCCUAAUUAAAAAAAAGGAGCUUUGUCAAAACGCUGUGAUAAUACACAAUUUUCCAACCAAGUUUUUCUGCAUUUAAGUUAGAGACUAACCCAUUAGAGAGCAUGUCUAUGAUUUUGGAGUGACAAAAUAGUGAAAGAAAGAGCCAAAAUUUAAAGAUGCUCUAAUCUCACGCAGCUGUUAAUCAACAGCACAUAAACUAGUAAUGCUGCCCUCGUUCUGGAGGAAUAACAGCUAGCAAGAUGUCUAUUUAUGGGAAAAAAAAAUGAGAAUGUUAGGAAGAUUGAUUUUAGACAUCUUGUUAAAACUUCCAGGCUUAAAUUUAUAAGCCUUCCUCAUUUGUAUUUGGGCGAAUUGCAGUCCUCUGAGGCCCUGUCAUAGAGCAUGUUUAUUUUUCUGUUCUUCAGAAGAAAAGCGUUAAGUAUAUUUUCUGCUCAUGGAAAGUUGUACUUCAUGCGUUUUGCAGUGGCAGUCCUCUGGGUAAGGCAUUUUAUGAGAAUCAGAGUAGUAACUGCAGGGUGGGAUCUUUCAUGUUGCAGUCCUUCUCAGCUCUCCUGCUGAUCUGAAACGCCCACUACAAACCAAAGGCUUGGCCCCCCUUUCCUGUGCUUGCACUGAUCUGCCUGGUGUACCUGGAGUAAAUAUUCUUCUCUUCAUCUCCUUUCUUCCUUGUUUUUCACCUUUUUCACCGUUAUUUCUGUAAUUUGUAAAAAAAGGGCUUGCAUUAAGUCAUCUUUUGACUUUGUGGAUGUUGCUCUGAUGGCUAUGGCAGUAGUUCUGUCUAUGGCUAAGGAAGGCGAGAAGUCAUAGCUCAAGCUUUGGUAUGGCUUUCCUUUGCUCUCCACGCUGAUACUUGUGUGUUUCUCAUGGUUCUCUUUCAGUGCCUUUAAAAGAGCUGCUCUAACAGUAAAUCAGGCCUGGGAAUGUAGCUUCCCUGCCCACACAUAUUAUAAAGGAAUUAUCCUUUUUCAUGAUGGAAAGGGGUUAAUAGGAGUUGCAAUGGCCUCUGCUCCACUUGCUUCCGCUACCCGGGAGUGUUCUUUGCUUAGACGGACACAAUACCAUAAAAAUACUCUUUUAUCAUUAAUUUUCUUCCUUUUGGUUUGUCCACCAGGAGUUCUUCUCAGGAAGAGUGUAUCCUGAGGUACGCUGGGGACAAACUGUAACUGAAAUGUUUUUCUGUGUGACAAAAGAGAAAGCUGGGAUCCAGGCUCCCACCACCACUAACCUCUGUACUCACUUUUAUCUGCUAUGAAAACUGUUAUGUCAGACACAUCCUCCUUUUCCCUGUUUGUCUGAAAGUCUGUGGUCGUGGUGCAGAUGCUACAGGGAUCAGAGGAAUGGGAGCCUGAGUAGACUGAAGCUUUGUAGUCUUACAGAUCUUUGGUUUCCCUUUACUUCUACCUUCAAGCUCAGCAGGAGGAAGGUGACUCUGCUUUACAUCACAGAGGAGAUUCCUCCACUUUUCAUGCUGGCUCCUUCCUCUCAUCCACUGUACUCACUGCUGCCUCUGAACACCUGGGGACCACACUGCAGCACAGUUUUACUCCCUUAUGUCUGAGAGGCUGAAACAGAUACUUCGUGCAGUGGCUUAUGGUAACUGUACUCUCAAUUUUUAUUCACUGUUGUAGAAGGAUGUCUACAAAUUAAUGUGAACUGAGGAUCUUUGGUCCUGGAUCUAGGCUCAAUGGAUCAAACAUGGUCUUUCACUAAACUUUCACUAAAACUGGAGUAAUUAAAGAGCAUAGGCUUCGAGAAAAGAUUUGAAACUCAAUCCAUACUGUAAAAUGGAUUGGUCUCCACUGUCUGUUUGGUGUUCUACUGUGUCAAAAAUUCAAAUUUAAAUGAUACUCUAACAUAUAGUACUAAAAACUGAUCUGAGUAAACUUGUCUAGCCCAGAAACUUUAACAGUUUUCUGGGCUUUUCUCUUUGGACAUACAGCCCUGAAGGAGAAGGCGGCACAAAAGAAUGAGCAACUGAGGAUAUAAUUUAAGGAACAUGGCUUCUGUUUUGUUCUUAAUCAAUGAAAACCACUUUUGGUGGUGGCACGUCAUCCUGUCUUCCAAAGAACUGCAGAAAAGCACCCACUCUUCCCCAAAAGAUCAGGCUCUGUCCAUGCAUGGCUGCCGUGCCACACUUCAGUGCCACCUCAAAAUGAGUGUCAUGACUUUUUUUGAGCAGUAUGAGAACACAAAGCCAGACUAAAGAAAUACCCCAAAUAUCUUCCCCACACACCGCCACAAAAAAAAAAAGAGAGAGAGAAAGAGGAAAAUAAUGUUGAGGGUUGCUGAGUGUAGUGGGGGUUGCUCCUGAGCUUGGAUAGGAGUUGCACCCAUUGAAUUUAUGAAGACAGAUGGGGACCGCUUGGCGAUCACAAAGCUGGGAGAGAUGGGGAUCCAGCCAGCUGGUGCCCACUCCCUGCCGCUUCCUGCCACCUAGUGGUCAGUGUUCUGCCAGUCUUCUGCUCAGCAGUUUGUGGCAUUAGAAAGGAUGGUCAGAAGAGAGGCAGGAUGCUGUGUGCUCUGGGGGAAAAAUGGGCGAAGCACUACAAGCACUCUGCCCUCUCCUAGCCAAGCGACCCCAGCGGUCCUGCCCUUUUGAGUGAGACUUUACCCUCACCUAACUAUGUGGUGAUAACUAUUAGUCUAAGAUGGUGAACUUGGAUGCUGUUGCAUAUUAUAUGAGGAAAUCUGACUCACAAAUGCAGGUAAGUGGGUUGGCCUAACACUUCAGUCUCCUAUUUACCCAUUCACUGGAGCUGAAUAAGUUGUUCUUUGUCUACACUUGUGGUACGCUGAAUGGGUUUCAAGUGUAUUAUUUUUUGUUUUCCUGGGAGGGCUUUGAUCUGCAUUCAGCCGUUGACACUCAGUGCUGCCUAUUCACUGUAUACAGAAAGCAAUCCAGCCCAGUUUCAGUCUCCAGGGUGUUGUUUUUGCAAGCCAUUUCAGAUUAUCAGGGUUUUUAAUGCUGUAAGAAGGGCUCCCAGAAGAAAUAAAGUGCUUAGACACACUAAUCCAAAAGUUCCACCCAUGCAGAAAAUGAAAGACAAUUGUGUUCUUUAUGAGCCAGGUACUUUCCACCUUACCCUUCAUAGUAAUGAGAUAAAGCAAAAACAGGAGAUGGACGUGUCUUGUUAAUUUGUAUUGUCUUCUGCUCCUCCAGCUCUCCACUCCCAGCAAAAUCAGCACAUCUAGCAGCAGAGGCAUGGAAAGGCAGGUGGUUUCCCCUGCUCACUUCAAGGUGGCAUCUGGCACCUCCCUGGGGACGGGACAUCUGCCUGUGAAGAGUCAGCAUGCAGGUGUUCAAGGCACAGGUGUUUACUGCACCUGCCAGGAGGUGGAGAGGUCAUGGACUGUUGUGGCCAGAACAAGGACCUCUUGCCCAUAGCAGCUCAGGAUUGUCACAACUCCUGCCAAAAUAAACACAUAUUCAUUGCAAAUGGGCUUUUCUCUGUGUAAAGGAUUUUCUCAGCCCGUACCUCCACUGAGGUUAUGGCUUUAAAAUUGAUUUUAUAUACUAUAGUCAAAGCUCGCUAACGUAAUACCUGUUUUCUGGAGCAAGAAUGCUGUUUCUAAAUCUAUGAAUUCACAGUCUUUUAUCUAGCAUGGAUGAAAUAAAUAAGGAAUUACUUGAGAGAUGUUCGCAGACCCAGAGAGAUAGGUUCUUAAAAGGUAGCAACUUCGGGUUUUCAGGCAUUGUGCCUGAAGAACAUCAUCAAACAAUCUGAGAGCGCAGAGAACAGAAGCACGCUUGUUGGUGGGUCUGAGGGUGGGCUGAAAGAUCUGGGGUCACUUAGUCUAGAGUGAGAUGUAAUGUCUUCAAAUGCAUACCUGUAGAGAGGAUAGCAGUAAAUGUCCUCUGCGCCAGCUUGAAAUACAGUAAGAGGCUUUAAGUUCUUGGCUAAAUGAUAGGAAAAGUCUCUAUUUGUUGUCAUGAUAAGAUGCUGAAUAGAUGAACUUGAGUGACAAAGGAAUGUCCAUCACCAAAAGUCUUGAAAAACAAGUUAGAGAAAGCAUUGCUUGCAGUGUCCUCAGUAUUGGGUCACGUGUUCUUUCCUAUGCUUUUUUCUCUUUUCUUUUACUCUAUAAAAUAAGUGAUUUCCUUAAUUUUACAGAUGGAGAUUUAAAGAUGUAGUGUUAAAAAGCACCCAGCCCUGAGCAUCCUCAUGUGCUUCUAAAGCUGACUCCAGCCGGAGUGCUGGCCAGAGGGCCCCUUGCCACUGAGAUAUGAGAUCCUAAGCAUAGGCCUCAGUGACUUUCUCAGGAAUAGAUGUAUCAUACUUAGUGUAAGAGCCAGGAAUGUGUGUGUAUGGCUUUCAGGAAGGCAGUUUUGUUUCACUAUUGGAACUGAUAGCCAGAAAUAGUCUAAUUUCCAAGCAAUUAAUGCCCACAUUUCCUAGAUAUGAAAUGAGUUCAUUUUUGUGCACGUUGGGCUAUGUGUUACGACAGUUACUUCAAGAAUGAGCUAUGUUUCUUCUCUUUUUUACUAGGGAAGAAGUUCCCAGAGCUUUCUGUGCUGGUGAAAGAGGCAGCUGUGCUAAUUCUGAUACCGAGUAUUCUCUUACAAACUGAGAUGCUGCAAAACUCCUCAGAAGAGCAGAAAAGGAAGACUUACACCUCUGUCUGACACAGUUAAAAUCUCUCCCUGUGCACUUAUCAGCUUGCAUAUCUCUGUGAAACUCUGUGCUUCAGCGAGGGCUACAUCACUAGGCAACUACUGCAAAGAAACAUGAGUUCUACAGGAUUUCAGGGAAGAAUUCUUCCUCUACUUUUGUUCACUUCUGAGUUUGUUUCUUGGCACCCUCUUCCUUAAUGUGAGGUCAGCCAGAGUACUUUCACAGUUUUUCCUGUCUGUUUUGUCGUUUGUUUCUGUUUCGCAGGCUUACAGCUCCGAAGUCUUUCCAAGAGAGAAGAGAAACCAAACUGGAAGAUGAGAGCAUUGCACAGGCACCAAAUGCUGUUUCUGUUCAACCUUUGUUUCAUCGAGAAAAGUGGGUGUCUAAAAUCAAAGCACGCAUUACUUCCCAUCACUUACUUGUAAUCUGAGACUAGUGUUUUAGUGGAGUCUGCUGCCAGACUACAGAGAAAAGGAAACUUAGUGGAUCACCAGGUUUUUCAGCCUCUGAGAAAGAUAACCAACCAAGAGGCUUCAUGAAUUUCUUGAGAAGAUAGAGGAUCUACUGAAGUUACCACUUCUUUCAGAAAACCAUGGCUGUCAAUGACUAAGGCAUGAACAAAGAAAGCUAAAUCUAUUUUAUCUUAUGUUAUAAAAUGUAAAGGAAAUGAUACUUCCAUAAUGUUUUAGGCCUUUCUGCAGAAUUUGUGAAAAUGCAGAAGAAUGGUGUUAGAUCCGGAAUAUGUAGUUUAGGUGGGAGAUUUCUUAGUAAUAAACAGCUUUGAAAAGGAAGAGAGUGAUUUAGCAGGUGUUGCCUCUGCUUCACCAUCCUUCCUGUAAUUCAGAAAUGCCAAAAGAUAGGUGAGUUUCUCAGUGCACACUGAAGGUCAACAAACCUAUCUUUACCAAGGCUGAAAUUGUUCUAGUACAGGUUAGAGGAAAGAAAACAAAUGUGAUCUGCUAAGCGUGAGACUACACCCAGAAAUCUGAGCAGUGGUUUUAUGAUUAUCCUAAGCUGUGCUUGAGGAACAGCUAACUGUAAGACUUACAUACUUACUCACAGGCAGGUGUCAGAUGAAGUAGCUGCAUGGAUGCUGGCCAUGCUGAAGUGAAUGGUGCUGAGACUUAAUGAAACAUGGUCACAGUUCCAUCUUUCUGUCAUUAGAUGCAUGUCAGUGCGUCUGACUGCUUGGGGAAAUGCUCUGCAUGCAGUAGAUGUGCUUUCCUAUGGAUACUACCCCAACUGGGAGGGGCAAGUAGUCCACAGAAGAUAUUAUUAUCCACAAUUACGGAUAGAAAGAAGUAAAGGAUGGUUAUUAAUAAGAAGCUCUCAUCUGCAAAGAAAAUUUGGUUUACCUGUGAGUAAAAGCCACUUGGAUAUAAACCUAGCUGCCACAUCACUAACUUAAGGCAGAAAUGUUACUCUAGAACUGGUAGAAAAUGAUCACUCGCAGAUUCUCAGGUACGGCUGAUGACGUUUCAUGCCCAGCAUAUUUUGUGCUCCAAAUUUCAGGUGACCAAGUGAAUAUCCUCUCAAUAUAAAGACUAAAAUCAAUGACACAAAACGUGUAUAAUUCACUAUACAAGGUUGUUAUAAUAUGCAGUCCUCUGUUUCACAGACCAAGAUUCAUAAUAGUUAGAAGCUAAGUCUCUUGGUGUUUCCAGUAUUGAUUUUUUUCCCCCCCCAUUUCUUUAAUUCUACUACAGUAAUCAUAGAAUCAUAGAAUGUCUUGAGCUGGGAGGGACCCAUGAGGAUCACUGAGUCCAACUCCUGACUCCACAUGUGACCACCCAAAAUCCAAACCCAAUGUCUGAGAAUGGCGUCCAGAAUGGUGGCAGCUCAGAGCCAUUCCCACUGCCCUGGGCAGCCUGUUCCAGGGCCCCACUGCCCUCUGGUGAAGAGCCUGUCCCUAACUCCCACCUGACCCUCCCCUGACACAGCUCCAUGCCAUUAUAGCAUGGAGAUUUCUGGAGAUGUGUGUCUUUAUGGGAAGGGAGAGAGGAGAAUAAGAUUUUGAAAUUAGUGUUCAGGCUAGGUAGUGACUUGCUGUUGUUAGGUGAUCUUCCCAUGCCCUUUUUACAUUCCUACGUGAAACUGAAAGGAUAUGUAUGAUGUUAAUACCAUUCCACUACCACUGACGCUUGCAGUUGGAAACAUUAGGCCUGAGGGCUUAGUUCAGCUAGUUCCUAAGCAUUUUCUUUUUCUUUAGGCUUUUUGUUUUUUCAUUGAAAAUAGUAGUUGUUGCUUAAAACUCACUCAAAACCAAGGGUUCUUCACCUUGCAAAUCACUAUCAGUACUGAGGGGCAUGAGGCUGGUUACAUAUCGAGCUCUGUAGCCAUCUCUGCUGUCCUCUAGGCUCUGGUGGUCCUCCUUGGGAACCCUAUUCUGUGCACCCGUUCAGAUCUGCCUCUUCUGCUUUCAAAGAACUGCUUCUGACUCACCCCUGGCACCAUCUGAGCACUUCUUCCUGUCUCUGGUUUCCAUUAUCCCUGGGAUGGCAUUUAUUGAUCAGAAAUGGGCUACAGAAGCAGAGCUGUGGAGAUCACAGAAUGGGGAACCUGCUGCAAGGAGCAGAGUGGGGAGCAGGCUGGGCAUGGAAAUGGAAACUUGCCUCUCCCCUCAACCUUCUUGUGCAUUUGGGCUGGUGGUUUGGGCUGGUGCCAAGGCUCAGCUCUAGGUCCGUUUUCCGUGUUCCUUACAAGGAUGUGGGUUGGAGGGACACCCAGGAAACAUUAGCAGUUGUCUGGAAGGAAGGUCCUAGCUGACAGCCGUGUUGUGGUGUGGGGCUUGGUGCUGUAUCUCAAAACAUCCCAUGUUACCAUCAGUCUGUGCAACCCCUCUUCUUCCAGAGGGUGGAAGAAGCGGUACCUACAAUUCAGUCACAGCAGGCCCUAAGGGGAAUGACUCAGGAGAACCAAGGAACAAACACCACGUACACCAUAUUUCUUUGGGUUUUGGGCAGACUCUUACCAUUUUGUAGAAUCAUAGAAUCAUGGAGUGGCCUGGAUUGAAAAGGACCAUAAUGAUCAUCUAGUUUCAACCCCCCUGCCAUGGGUGGGGUCACCAACUGCCAGACCAGGCUACCCAGAGCCACAUCCAGCCUGCACACUCUUAUAGGGGGGAAACAGCAGGAAACCAAGCGAUGCAAGGCAAUGCCUUUUUCACAGAGGUGCAGACUUCAGUUCUCACAUAACUAUAGCUGUCACUCUUCUUUCUGCGCUCACCUCCCUGCCUGCUUACCUUAUGAUGCAAAAUGUGCCUCGGGAUAUUUGUGGUGAUGUUGGUGAAAAUAUUACAAAAACAGAUAAUUGGAGAAUCAAGGCUUGGCAAACUGUUGUUCGAUCUGGCAAUAUAGCAAAGUGUGUCGUUUGCCAAGAGCAGUCUCAUCUGAUAGACUUUUGGGACCAAGAGCUGGCAAAUGAGUAAGCCUCACAUGAUUACCUUUAUUUUUGCUUUAUGAGCAAACAAAAUUCAGAGGUGGAGGGUAUAAACAAAGAAAGUGAAACUGGGAGAGUUCAUGUGUUUACGGCCUAAGAGCCCACACCUUCCACUGAGGCUUGUAAGAGGCUUAUGUGCUGUGCACAUAAGGUUACUUUGGGAGGGAGGAACUGGGUAGCACAGCUGCAUCUGCCUCCCAUACAGAAAGAAUGCUGCUGGAUCGUGAUGCAGCAUAGUAAUGUGCAUUAACAGACCUUCAGCUCCACAGACUUUACUCUCUUCCUUCCCUGUGGAUGGGUGUGUCUAACUGACAGCCGCCCAGCUUUGUAUUCUUUGGGCUUCCUGUAUAUGACUGUACGUGCAACAUAUUCAGUACAAAAAUAGCAAAAGAGAAUCAAGAAGUAGUAAAUCACCUGGUAAAAGCUGGAGGUCAUCAGACCAUGUCUUACAGAAGGUGCACAGGCUUUGUCCCCCACAAAGCAGGUCCCAGCUUGUUUUGUUUUCUGCAGCGUACAAAGGCCAUCUACUGGGCCUUAACACAACUGCUGUUAGGUGUGAUGUCUUGUGUAACAUCACUGAGCAUGGCACUGGGUGAUUGGGAUGAAUGUGCAAGUCCUUAAUUGAAAUUACUCAAUCACAGAAUCAUUAAGGUUGGAAAAGACCGCUAAGAUCAUCUUGUCCAACUGUCAACCCAUUGCCACCACGCCCACUAGCUGUGGUACACAGACCUUCUAUCCACUGAGCAGUUUAACUGCACUGGCAGAAAUAAAAACUUUUCUGUUUCUUUCAGAAGACUACAAAAACUGGUGCUGCACUUGACCUGAUUGGAUUAUUUGUAACUUAAGUGGCAGGUGUUGCGCCUUAAAUGGCAGUUUCAGUCAGCACCUUUUGUUUCCCUCCUUCAAAAGACAUAGACUUUCAGUGGUUUU